AUGUCUUCCCUAAAACUAUGCCCUAUCUUCUCACUGUAUUGUUUAAAGUCAGGAAUAUCAGGAACUGAGACUUUCUGCCAGUUAAUCAUCUCCUUUAUUGCCUAUACUUAUGAUGAAGAACUGAACCAAGCCCUACAUUUUACUCUGAUGGAAAAGUUAUCAGUGAGAUCAAAGAGGCAAGUCAUAAGAAGAAAGAAGAAAGUCAUAAUCCCACAUACUUGCUGGGGUGGGAUGUAUAAGAAGUUAUUUGAAAAAACGAGAAUAUGAAGGAAACCAGUGUGUUUGUUAAAUGCCUUCAGUAAAAAUACUUGCUGCGUUCUAUCAGGCACAAAAGUUGCAGACUGCCUAAAUAUACACUUCUCUAUCUACAUUUUUACCUUUGCAAAAGGAGGAGGAUCUGUUUUGUUACCCUGAGCUUAUACAGCUUGUCUCCUUUUUAGAUCUUCUUUACUGAUAUCAAACUACUGAGCUUGUUGAAGCUUCAAAUGUGCCAAAUGCUUUGGAGCGAGGGGUUGGACUCCCGCCCAGAACAGGUGCACAGGUGUUCACUGUGACAAUAUUAAAAUAUUUUACAAACAAAAUCUCUCCCUAGACAGCUACAAUGAGCAGCCUGUGCCCUUUUAGAUGCUUUCCGGGGCUUGGGAACACCUUUCUUAAACAGGCAGUUUAUUUUCUGAUAAGAAGCAGAAAGACUUCAUUUACGGUUGCUUAAUGCUAUUAGAGUCUGUGCACGCAGUUUCUAUAACAAGAUAGGAAAAACAAGCCAAGUCUUCUGCGUAGGAUUUUUCUGAUCUCCAGGAUAUAGGAACACACCUAUGGUAUCUUGGUAUAUGACUCACUGGGUUGCUGAUGUCACACAGUAUCUACUGCUGGGCUCGGGUAAGUGAUAGAAAGAGUUCACCAUAGGACAACAGCUUCUUGUACGCUGCCAUUUCACCUCCCCAUUCUAAAAAGGUAAUCGGGAAGGAAGUUACUUUAAAACAUAAAACAAAACUACGCUCAGAGACAGAAAAGAAACACUGUUUUCCAUUCUUAAGGCAGUGCUGUUAAUAUUGCAGGAAGCAUGUGACUAUAAUGCUGAGCAUGAAAAAUCAAAGGCAGCACUGCCCUUUACCCCCAAUCUAUAGGAGCUACUGCUGGGCUCGCAGGGCACUGCGAGCUGUGGCUGCUGCACCCGCAGCACACGGGCAGCUAGAAGCACUGCAGGAAGAAAAUGAAUGCAGGAAGAAAUAUGAAUGAGUUAGCUGACCACAGCACUGCAAAGAGGAACGUGUUGCAUACAGCAGUGAUGAAUGUCCUUGGACAUCCAUCAGCCAGCUAUGCUCUGUGGACUUCUUACAUGGAGAUAAUAAAUGAAAUGGGUUUGAUUAGAUAGGUGGUCA
rnacentral:lncRNA from 1 species